rnacentral:rRNA from 1 species
UACGAAGGGGGCUAGCGUUGCUCGGAAUUACUGGGCGUAAAGGGCGCGUAGGCGGCACUGUUAGUCAGGCGUGAAAUUCCUGGGCUCAACCUGGGGACUGCGCUUGAUACGGCAGAGCUAGAGGAUGGAAGAGGCUCGCGGAAUUCCUGGUGUAGCGGUGAAAUGCGCAGAUAUCAGGAGGAACACCGGUGGCGAAGGCGGCAUCCUGGACCGACACUGACGCUGAGGAGCGAAAGCCAGGGGAGCAAACGGG